rnacentral:lncRNA from 1 species
UAUUAUACUUAAAUUAAUAUAAUAGAAGUCAGCCCAAUUUAAUCAAACAUACAAAAUAACAUAGCCCACUUUAAUUAAACAUAUUCAACAUGACUAAUCUAGUAAGCACUUGUGCUAAGUACCGGUGUGACAUGGCAUAUUAUAAUUGGUGGUGGAAGAUAAUGAUUGGUUACAAAAUUGAUUAUACCACAUAUUAUCGUGUGUCAUAUAACCUGGUGCACUGAUGGUUAUAGGAGAUCAAUUUUGACAUGCAAAUUAACUUCCCAACCCAUUAUUUCACAAACUCACCCCUACAUAGCGUAACCCUUUCUUGGUUUCUCUCGUUUCUCAAUAAAAUUAUUGCCUCGUGAAAUCUCUUAACCCGCUUGAAUUGUGCCUUUGAGGGCUCCUUUCAGUCAUUUUUUCUUGAUUUCUAAGUUUAAUUUUGUUCCUUUUUUUGGAGGAUUGAUCAGUUACAAUCCACAAGAGGAGUUCGUAGAAUGAGCAUUUGAGAGUUACAUUUAGUACAAAAGAAAAUGAAACCUGUCUGCAAUUUUGUUUAAUUGGGAGGUUAAUUGAAUCUUGUUGAAAAUAUUUGUGAGUAUCCUUGACGUGGACAUCACCCAUAUAUGCUUUGGGCUAGUUUCAUAUAUGUUCAGUUUAGUUUAAAUUGGGCUUCUAUUAUUGGGUUUGGCCCAAGCCUAUUUACUUUCUAGGUUUGUCGAUUUCUCUAUUUAAAUAUAUUGGUCAUUUAAUUUCAAAGGAAAUGAUGAUUGAUGAAUAUAAAUGAAAUGCAUGGCUAACAAGUUUUCUCCUAUGUCUUCCUCACUAUAUCUCUUCCCCUUCGGUCUUCUCCUCACAUUUUCUCCGGUUCUCCCCCCUUUCUUGAUUCUCUUCUUCUUUGCUGCCUCUUCUUCUUUCCUUCUUCCGUUGUUGUUCUUCUUAGAUUGCUUUCUCUUUAUGUGCUUGUUUGGUAGGGAUUUUGUUAAUUAAUUUUUUUUACCUUUAGAGAUAAAUUGGAUCCUAUGUAUGAGAGAAAAAUUUCAAAAUGACGGUUGGAAUAGUGAAAUAAUGAUCAAAAAAUUGAUGUUAAUUGGAUUAAAAUAUCUACCAAAUAUGUUCUAUAUGUUAAAUAUUUCUACUGGUAAAUCAUAUUUUUGUAUCAGAGCUAAAACCUGGAUUUCGCUGUUAAAGAAGGCUGAAACUGUAAUGAAACCUUCAUUAGUUAUUAUCCCUUUUGAUGAGAAGGUUUACUUAAGGGAGCUCAUGGAAUUGGAUCUCUCAUCUAACAGGAAAAAGUCUAUGCACGAAAAACAUUUAUUCAAGGAAGACUUUAUUUUUUAAUGAGCGAAGGAAACUAUUGUCAGAUUGAUAAGAAUUUGGUUUGCAUAAAUUUCUUAAGCAACCCAAUUUUGAGUACAACGUGCUUAAAGAGAUUCCCUAUGACCAACUUCAGAUGUGAACAGGUGGAAACAAAGGACUAUGCGAAAUUAGAGAAAUGGAUAUGGAUGGCAUCUACAAGUUACUUGACCUUUUUUGAUUCCCAAUUUUAUUAUUAUUUUUUUUCAAAAUACAUUUUUUUUGUUUUCUUUUUAACCACACAUUUCAAUAAAAUAAUAUUACAUAUAAAUUU